rnacentral:tRNA from 1 species
UUAGUUAAAGUGAACCACAUAAAAAUUUGAUUUUUAAAAAGAUUAAUAAUCUAACUACA